rnacentral:lncRNA from 1 species
GGCGCGUUCCCUCGGGCACCACCGGGGCUUUGCGGGGGGAGGGGGUGCGGAGGCGCCGCGGGGACGCCCCCCGGUUCCCUGGGAAAGUUCGAGCCCUUUUCCUAACUCGGAGACGGCGGCCCGAGGCACCGGGCCCAGCUCUAGAAGCAAAGGGGCAGGAAAGAAGGCUUCCGGUUGGAAUGCACAGAUAAGGGCAUUAGCCUUUUAAAAAAAUAAACAAAAAAACAAAAACCAAAAAAAGCCAGAGGCCGGCUGGCGGCUUCAGGACUAGGAUUAAUUCGGUAGGGGUGGCUACGCAGAAGGACUUGUCCCCUAGAGGCCCUACAGCCACCAGGGCUCCAGUAGACUGAGCUAGCAUUCUCGGAAGGCACAAGCUGAACAAGGCCAUGUGAAAAUGAGGGAGAGAGCUUGAAGCUGGUGGGCUUUUCGAUUACAAAUCCAUUCUUGUUUAAAGGCAUAAACGAUGGGAUUUGACUGAGCCAAGUGAUCCAUUUGGCCGUUGUGUACGGAUUAAAAGAAAUAAAUUACUGUCCCUAAAAAACCAUGCUAGCCACAGUAGAAGGGCUUAGGGAGCCAAUGAAAGGUAGACAAAAUUGGGGAGACAGUGAGGGCAGAGCACAUGAAUACAACUUUAAAAACCAAAAUGAUCCCCACCCCCCACGGCACCCAUAAAUUUAGUGGAAAACUUCCUGAGUGAGUUUUUGGCAUGGAUCUGAUGGACCUGUGUGUUGCGUUAAUGUGGACUGGUUCCGGGAGAGCUCAGCGAUUCAGGGUUUUCAAGGGAGGGCAACUUGGUUCCUGUUAGUUUCACUUUCACUAAAGAUUGAUUUUUAAAACCACAAGCAUCCAGCCUAGUGUGCUCCAGGGGUGCAUUCUUCAUUUCCCCAGAGAAAUAGGUUUAAGAUUCCUAUCAGACCACACGCACACCCCCAACCCCCGGGCUUCCCCCAAGAAAACCUCGGGUUUAAGGCUCAAAGUCACAAAGCUGAGCGGUCACCUGGAAAUGGAGUCAGGUAAUGAGAGGCCCUCAGAUCCCAGAGGACACCCUACAAGAAGAAGUCAGAAUCGUGCUGAAGACCCGGUCUCCAGCAAACAUAGGAAUGAACAGGACGGUCGCCUAAAGCCUCCACCCAGAGCCUCGGAUUUGAUUCUCGGCUAGAAGAUCCAACCAGCCUGUUCUUACAGACGGCUUCCCAUCAGCCCCUUCUCUGUUGAGUCGAUACCAG